GUCGAACGAUGAAGCCUUAGCUUGCUAAGGUGGAUUAGUGGCGCACGGGUCAGUAAUAGAUAGAUAACGUGCCUCUUAGUCUGGGAUAGCCAUUGGAUACGAUGAUUAAUACUAGAUACUCCUUCUCAAUCUAAUUUGAGUCGGGAAAGUUUUUCGCUAAGAGAUCGGUCUAUAUCCCAUCAGUUAGUUGGUAAGGUAACGGCUUACCAAGGCAAUGACGGGUAGCGGGUUUGAGAGGAUGAUCCGCCACACUGGUACUGAGACACGGACCAGACUCCUACGGGAGGGAGCAGUGAGGAAUAUUGCACAAUGGAGGAGACUCUGAUGCAGCAACGCCGCGUGGAGGAUGACGCAUUUCGGUGUGUAAACUCCUUUUAUCAAGGAAGAAAAUGACGGUACUUGAUGAAUAAGCACCGGCUAACUCCGUGCCAGCAGCCGCGGUAAUACAGAGGGUGCAAGCGUUACUCGGAAUCACUGGGCGUAAAGGACACGUAGGCGGGAUGCCAAGUCUGAUGUGAAAUCCUAUGGCUUAACCAUAGAACUGCAUUGGAAACUGGUAACCUAGAGUAUGGGAGGGGGAGAUGGAAUUAGUGGUGUAGGGGUAAAAUCCGUAGAUAUCACUAGGAAUACCGAAAGCGAAGGCGAUCUCCUGGAACAAUACUGA
rnacentral:rRNA from 1 species